rnacentral:rRNA from 1 species
GACGAACGCUGGCGGCGUGCUUAACACAUGCAAGUCGAACGGAAAGGCCCUGCUUUUGUGGGGUGCUCGAGUGGCGAACGGGUGAGUAACACGUGAGUAACCUGCCCUUGCCUUUGGGAUAACUUCAUGCAACUGGGGCUAAUACCGGCUAGGAUCUCCUGCUGCUUGGUGGGGGUUGGUUAGUUUCGGCGGUUGGGGAUGGACUCGCGGCUUAUCAGCUUGGUGGUGGGGUAGUGUCUUACCAAGGCUUUGACGGGUAGCCGGCCUGGGCGGGUGACCGGCCACACUGGGACUGAGAUACGGCCCAGACUCCUACGGGAGGCAGCAGUGGGGAAUAUAGCACAAUGGGCGGAAGCCUGAUGCAGCAACGCCGCGUGCGGGAUGACGGCCUUCGGGUUGUAAACCGCUUUCGCCUGUGACGAAGCGUGAGUGACGGUAAUGGGUAAAGAAGCACCGGCUAACUACGUG